rnacentral:rRNA from 1 species
GGGGCGAGGCGCGGCUUACACAUGCAGUCGAGCGAGGAAUUCCUUCGGGGAUUUCCUAGCGGCGGACGGGUGAGUAACACGUGGGCAACCUGCCUGAUAGAGGGGGAUAGCCUCCCGAAAGGGAGAUUAAUACCGCAUAAAGUCAAAUGAAGGCAUCUUCAAAUGACCAAAGGAGUAAUCCGCUAUCAGAUGGGCCCGCGGCGCAUUAGCUAGUUGGUGAGGUAACGGCUCACCAAGGCGACGAUGCGUAGCCGACCUGAGAGGGUGAUCGGCCACAUUGGGACUGAGACACGGCCCAGACUCCUACGGGAGGCAGCAGUGGGGAAUAUUGCACAAUGGGGGAAACCCUGAUGCAGCAACGCCGCGUGAGUGAUGAAGGCCUUCGGGUUGUAAAGCUCUGUCUUCAGGGACGAUAAUGACGGUACCUGAGGAGGAAGCCACGGCUAACUACGUGCCAGCAGCCGCGGUAAUACGUAGGUGGCAAGCGUUGUCCGGAUUUACUGGGCGUAAAGGGAGCGUAGGCGGAUACUUAAGUGGGAUGUGAAAUACCUGGGCUUAACUUGGGUGCUGCAUUCCAAACUGGGUGUCUAGAGUGUUGGAGAGGAAAGUGGAAUUCCUAGUGUAGCGGUGAAAUGCGUAGAGAUUAGGAAGAACACCAGUGGCGAAGGCGACUUUCUGGACAAUAACUGACGCUGAGGCUCGAAAGCGUGNGGAGCAAACAGGAUUAGAUACCCUGGUAGUCCACGCCGUANACGAUGGGUACUAGGUGUAGGGGGUAUCGACUCCNCCUGUGCCGCCGNUAACACAAUAAGUACCCCGCCUGGGGGAGUACGGUCGCAAGAAUAAAACUCCAAGGA